ensembl:snRNA U1 U1 spliceosomal RNA
ACACUCACCUGUCAGGGGAGAUACCAUGAUCAAGAAGGUGGUUUUCCCAGGGUGAGUCUUAUCCAUUGCAGUCUGGAUGUGCUGACCACUGCGAUUUCCCCAAAUGUGAGAAAGUCAACCGCAUAAUUUGUGGUAAUGGGGGACUGUGUUCCUGCUUUUCCCCG